rnacentral:lncRNA from 1 species
UCCUUGGAAAAGAAAAAGAAAAAUAGGGACCAACCUAUAACAUAGAGAAGAAAUAAAAAAAGGAAAUUAGAAAUGAACAUAACCAAAAACUAAAUUAAUGAAAUAAAAUAGUAAAUGUUUUUUUUAACUUAUAUAGAAACUCUAAAAUCAUGAUGUAGGAGUACCUCUGUGUUUUUGUGAUUUUCUCCUUUUACUCUUUAAUCGUCUCUUUGGUUACAAAUCUGCACUAUAAAAAAAUAUACAAUUCUUUGCAAUCGGCAUUGGUCGUAUGUCACAAAUUUUGAUUUGAAACCAACUCGUAUAAAAUAUGUAAAAUCUGGAGAAAAUUAAACAACUACAAAAAAAUAAUCAACACACAAUAAUAAGAAAUAAGUUGCAAAAAAAAAAAGAAAUAAAAGAGUGAUAGAGAAGUUGUUUUAUUGUAAAAAACAAUGAAAAUUAAAUAUAUGACGCUCGUGUGUGAAUCCUUCCGCAUAUCAAAUUAUCUAUUCCGGUAUUCUUGAAUUUUUAAGGGCCAAAAUGAACAUUUAAAUCAAAAAGUGUGUGCAAAAAAAAUAGAAGAAUAUAACGAGUGAGAAAACCAAGAAAAAAGAGAAUUAGAUUUGUACCGUACGUUAGCCACCGUUAACAUGGGCGCUGCGUCUUGUCCAUCAAUAUGGUUGUCUAUUAUGGACAUGUAUA